rnacentral:pre_miRNA from 1 species
UUCUUAAUAUAAGUAUGUCCCAUGCAAUUUUCAGGAUAUACUUAUGCUAAAA